rnacentral:rRNA from 1 species
UCUGGUGUCAGCCGCCGCGGUAAUACCAGCUCUCCGAGUGGUAGGGAUGAUUAUUGGGCUUAAAGCGUCCGUAGCCGGCUUAGCAAGUCUCCUGUUAAAUUCAGCGACCUAAUCGUUGAGCCGCGGGAGAUACUACUAGGCUAGGAGGCGGGAGAGGUCGACGGUACUCCCGGGGUAGGGGUGAAAUCCUAUAAUCCCGGGAGGACCACCAGUGGCGAAGGCUGUCGGCUAGAACGCGCUCGACGGUGAGGGACGAAAGCUGGGGGAGCGAACCGGAUUAGAUACCCGGGUAGUCCCAGCCGUAAACGAUGCGGGCUAGGUGUUGGGGUGGCUACGUGCCACUUCAGUGCCGCAGGGAAGCCAUUAA